UUUUUGGGACUUCUGAGUAGUUUUUACAUUGCAGUGGAAAGUGUGAGUGUGCACUCUUUGGUGAUUAUGUUGACAUCCUUAGCAAGUUGAUGUUGAAGGUUGAGAACGGAUUGCUUGUUCUUUUGGUGCAGUUUGCAAAAGUGAAGAUCUUUCGUGAGAAAGCUUCCCUUCAGAAUGUUAUUAAUACAACCCGCAUAGUGUUGGAUCCUCCAAUUGAAGAGACCUUGCAGAUCAGGUAGUGGUUUUUGUUUUUGUGCAAUCCAUUGUAUGUGUGUUACUAUUUCUUCUCAUUUAUUUUUGUAUCUCUUACAUAUGCUUUUAUGUUUCAGUGUUUUGGUUGUAGGUGUGAGUUUGUCCUCUCUCCCCAAACUUGAAUCACGCACGAGGGCAUCUAUUAAGGAUGAUUUCCUUACUAUGUAUCCUAGGAAGACUUUGUCCCAGCUCAUAGCUUCUCUUGAGGAUGGUUUGUUUAUUGUCUCUACGACUAUUGAUGGAUUGGUUGAUGGCGAGGAUUGGUGGUAUCCUGCCUGUAAAUGACAUAGGAGCGUUACACCUUAUUCUGGUGCCUAUUACUGCAAGGAUUAUGUUAAGCACGUUUUCCAUAUGGUUCCAAGGUGUUUACUCUUUGUUGUUUGGUUUUCCAUUCAUAAUAUCUUCAACGGUUUCUUCUUUGUUAGUGACACUUUCUUUGCAGGUACCAGGUGAAGCUUAAAGUUAGCGAUUCUCAUGCUGAUGCUGUCUUUGUUGUUUUUUACGGUGAUAUGUAGAAUUUUCUUGAUGUUCCUUGCAGUAUCCUGGUUUCUCUUCCCAAGGUUUUGUUAUUUGCUCAUCCUUUCCUAUUUGUGAUGUAAUCUGUAAAUCUGUAAUUUGCAAUAUUGGGAAUAUUUUUAAUUUCUUAUUUGUAAUACCCUUUGUGACUAUAAAUUUCAAAUAUAAAUUUUUCAAAUUUGUUGAUCA